GUCGAACGCUGGCGGCGGGCUUAACACAUGCAAGUCGAACGAAGCGGCGAACGGGUGAGUAACGCGUAAGAAACCUGCCCUUCAGAGGGGGACAACAGUUGGAAACGACUGUUAAUACCGCAUACGGAAGGAGGGGAAUGCGUCUUAUUAGCUAGUUGGAGGGGUAACGGCCAACCAUGGUGAUGGUCCGUAGCCGGUCUUGAAGGAUUGACGGCCCACUUGGGACUGGUACACGGCCCCGACUCCUACGGGAGGCAGCAGUGGGGAAUCUUCCGCAAUGGACGACAGGCUGACGGAGCAACGCCGCGUGAGUGAUGACGGCCUUCUGGUUGUAAAGCUCUGUUAAUCGGGACGCGGUACCCGAAUAGAAAGCCACGGCUAACUACGUGCCAGCAGCCGCGGUAAUAC
rnacentral:rRNA from 1 species